rnacentral:rRNA from 1 species
UACGUAGGGUGCAAGCGUUAAUCGGAAUUACUGGGCGUAAAGCGCGCGUAGGCGGCUUUGUAAGUUAGAGGUGAAAGCCCGGAGCUCAACUCCGGAACUGCCUUUAAGACUGCAUCGCUUGAAUCCAGGAGAGGUGAGUGGAAUUCCGAGUGUAGAGGUGAAAUUCGUAGAUAUUCGGAAGAACACCAGUGGCGAAGGCGGCUCACUGGACUGGUAUUGACGCUGAGGUGCGAAAGCGUGGGGAGCAAACAGG